rnacentral:rRNA from 1 species
GACGAACGCUGGCGGCGUGCUUAACACAUGCAAGUCGAACGGAAAGGCCUCUUUCGGGGGGUACUCGAGUGGCGAACGGGUGAGUAACACGUGAGUAACCUGCCCUUGACUUUGGGAUAACUUCAGGAAACUGGGGCUAAUACCGGAUAGGAGCUCCUGCUGCAUGGUGGGGGUUGGAAAGUUUCGGCGGUUGGGGAUGGACUCGCGGCUUAUCAGCUUGUUGGGGGGGUAGUGGCUUACCAAGGCUUUGACGGGUAGCCGGCCUGAGAGGGUGACCGGCCACAUUGGGACUGAGAUACGGCCCAGACUCCUACGGGAGGCAGCAGUGGGGAAUAUUGCACAAUGGGUGGAAGCCUGAUGCAGCAACGCCGUGUGCGGGAUGACGGCCUUCGGGUUGUAAACCGCUUUCGCUCAUGACGAAGCUUUGUGUGACGGUAGUGGGUAAAGAAGCACCGGCUAACUACGUG